AACGCUAGCGGAGGCUUAACACAUGCAAGUCGAGGGGUAACAGGAGUAGCUUGCUACUUGCUGACGACCGGCGCACGGGUGCGUAACGCGUAUAGAAUCUACCUUGUACUAGGGGAUAGCCUUUGGAAACGAAGAUUAAUACCCUAUAGUAAGUAUUUAUGGCAUCAUUUAUACUUUAAAGGUUACGGUACAAGAUGACUAUGCGUCCUAUUAGUUUGUUGGUGAGGUAACGGCUCACCAAGACUUCGAUAGGUAGGGGCCCUGAGAGGGGGAUCCCCCACACUGGUACUGAGACACGGACCAGACUCCUACGGGAGGCAGCAGUGAGGAAUAUUGGACAAUGGAGGCAACUCUGAUCCAGCCAUGCCGCGUGCAGGAUGACGGCCCUAUGGGUUGUAAACUGCUUUUAUGUAGGAAGAAACACUCUCACGUGUGAGAGCUUGACGGUACUACAAGAAUAAGGACCGGCUAACUCCGUGCCAGCAGCCGCGGUAAUACGGAGGGUCCAAGCGUUAUCCGGAAUCAUUGGGUUUAAAGGGUCCGUAGGCGGGCUAUUAAGUCAGAGGUGAAAGUUUGCAGCUCAACUGUAAAAUUGCCUUUGAAACUGGUAGUCUUGAAUUAUUAUGAAGUGGUUAGAAUAAGUAGUGUAGCGGUGAAAUGCAUAGAUAUUACUUAGAAUACCAAUUGCGAAGGCAGAUCACUAAUAAUAUAUUGACGCUGAGGGACGAAAGCGUGGGGAGCGAACAGGAUUAGAUACCCUGGUAGUCCACGCCGUAAACGAUGGAUACUAGCUGUUCGGAUUUAUCUGAGUGGCUAAGCGAAAGUGAUAAGUAUCCCACCUGGGGAGUACGUUCGCAAGAAUGAAACUCA
rnacentral:rRNA from 1 species